GGGUUGUGAGGUUAAGCGACUAAGCGUACACGGUGGAUGCCCUGGCAGUCAGAGGCGAUGAAGGGCGUGCUAAUCUGCGAUAAGCGCCGGUAAGGUGAUAUGAACCGUUAUAACCGGCGAUACCCGAAUGGGGAAACCCAGUGUGACUCGUCACACUAUCAUUAACUGAAUCCAUAGGUUAAUGAGGCGAACCGGGGGAACUGAAACAUCUAAGUACCCCGAGGAAAAGAAAUCAACCGAGAUUCCCCCAGUAGCGGCGAGCGAACGGGGAGGAGCCCAGAGCCUGAAUCAGCAUGUGUGUUAGUGGAAGCGUCUGGAAAGGCGCGCGAUACAGGGUGACAGCCCCGUACACAAAAGCGCACAUGCUGUGAGCUCGAUGAGUAGGGCGGGACACGUGGUAUCCUGUCUGAAUAUGGGGGGACCAUCCUCCAAGGCUAAAUACUCCUGACUGACCGAUAGUGAACCAGUACCGUGAGGGAAAGGCGAAAAGAACCCCGGCGAGGGGAGUGAAAAAGAACCUGAAACCGUGUACGUACAAGCAGUGGGAGCCCCACCACCAAAGCAUUCUCUGGUGUUGAAGGCCCUGCAAAGCAGCAUCGCGGUGGCGGAGCGUCGUUUGCGACGCCCAACACACAAAACAAGCGGUGAGUGCUUUG
rnacentral:rRNA from 2 species